GAUGAAGAACGUAGCGAAAUGCGAUAAGUAAUGUGAAUUGCAGAAUUCAGUGAAUCAUCGAAUCUUUGAACGCACAUUGCGCCCGCCAGUAUUCUGGCGGGCAUGCCUGUUCGAGCGUCAUUACAACCCUCAGGCCCCCGGGCCUGGCGUUGGGGAUCGGCGGAGCCCCCCGUGGGCACACGCCGUCCCCCAAAUGCAGUGGCGGUCCCGCCGCAGCUUCCAUCGCGUAGUAGCUAACACCUCGCGACUGGCGAGCGGCGCGGCCACGCCGUAAAACACCCAACUCUUCUGAAGUUGACCUCGAAUCAGGUAGGAAUACCCGCUGAACUUAAGCAUAUCAAUAAGCGGAGGA
rnacentral:misc_RNA from 1 species